rnacentral:rRNA from 1 species
ACUACGGGUGGCUGCAGUCGAGAAUCAUUCACAAUGGGGGAAACCCUGAUGGUGCGACGCCGCGUGGGGGAAUGAAGGUCUUCGGAUUGUAAACCCCUGUCAUGUGGGAGCAAAUUAAAAAGAUAGUACCACAAGAGGAAGAGACGGCUAACUCUGUGCCAGCAGCCGCGUUAAUACAGAGGUCUCAAGCGUUGUUCGGAAUCACUGGGCGUACAGCGUGCGUAGGCUGUUUCGUAAGUCGUGUGUGAAAGGCGCGGGCUCAACCCGCGGACGGCACAUGAUACUGCGAGAAUAGAGUAAUGGAGGGGGAACCGGAAUUCUCGGUGUAGCAGGGAAAUGCGUAGAUAUCGAGAGGAACACUCGUGGCGAAGGCGGGUUCCUGGACAUUAACUGACGCUGAGGCACGAAGGCCAGGGGAGCGAAAGGGAUUAGAUACCCUUGUAGUC